GGUGACCAGCGGAGGGAUCAUUACAGAGUUGCAAAACUCCCAAACCAUUGUGAACGUCACCGUAUCGUUUCUUCGGCGGGCGGCUCCCCACCCGGGGCCGCGCCUACCCCUCACGGGGUGGCAGCCCGCCGGAGGCGUCGAAACUCUCAGCAUCUUAUGGCAUCUCUGAGUAACUUACAAAAUAAGUUAAAACUUUCAACAACGGAUCUCUUGGUUCUGGCAUCGAUGAAGAACGCAGCGAAAUGCGAUAAGUAAUGUGAAUUGCAGAAUUCAGUGAAUCAUCGAAUCUUUGAACGCACAUUGCGCCCGCUAGUAUUCUGGCGGGCAUGCCUGUUCGAGCGUCAUUUCAACCAUCAAGCCCCACGGCUUGUGUUGGGGCCCUGCGGCCGUCCGCAGCCCCCGGAAUGCAGUGGCGGGCUCGUUGUCACCCCGAGUGCAGUAAUACUCUUCUCUCUGGGCGUGGCGGCGGGUUCCGGCCGUGAAACAACCAAACUUAUCAAGGUUGACCUCGGAUCAGGUAGGAAUACCCGCUGAACUUAA
rnacentral:rRNA from 1 species